AUAUGCUGGAAUCCUGAGCCUGGGAGCGAGCUCUGGCUUCCUGCUGCGAGGACCAGCAGAAGCUACAUGCAUUACUGUGGUAAUGCACAGCCCCGGGGGAACAGGAAAAGGAGAGAAGGGUGCGUCAGGGGAAAGGGCAGUUUGUAGUUCUCCCCAGAGCCCCAAACAGUUGCUAAAGAGCUGCGUCCACAUGAACUUCAGGUAAAAACAGUCUCUUUACUGUCCCUGCUUGGAACGGAGCAGGACAGGCUGAAGGAGGAGUUAUGGAAGAAGCAAAAACAGAAAAUCCCUAUCAACCAGAAAACCCCCUGAUUUGUGCGUCCUUUGGAUGAAUCAGCCAGUAUUACAUAUCGACAAGCACCGGUUUAACAAUAAAGUUGGAUCUAGGGAGAAGAGGCUGGAAGGUUUUCAGAAAGCCCUAACUUGGGCUAUGUGUUUGUGAGGUGUGAGUACAUCUUCUUUCUUAUACAAAAAGAAAUACUCACCUGCAUACUCAAAACCCCACAUUAACAAAUCAGGAGCUUAAUCCCCGUCCUGCUGAAGUCAACAGAAAAUCUCCCACUGACUUGAGCAGCGCAGGAUUGGGCUUACAGCUGAAAUCCUACUGCUUUUUCAAGGCAAAGUAUUUGGUGAAAACUUAUGUCACAUGAGCUGUUGGUUUGAGGACUCUAGUGGAUUCUCAUUUCAUAUCUGACUAUGAGGAAUGGAUGACUUCAAUGGCAGGAUCUUUGAAGAAACAAGGAUAUGUCAAGUGUGGAUUAGGACCAAUCCUAUGAGAAACUGAAUAAUUUAGGCUCCUUUGAACUCCUACUAAUUUCACUGGGAGCUUACAGUCCUCUGCACCUUUUAGGAUGGAUUCUGUCUUGGAGACUGAGAUUGGUGCUAAGAUAUUAAGAGGAAACAGCAACACUGGAAGUGUUUACAAGUAAAGAAUACUGAAACAAUGGACAUUAUACAUAUUGUGAAUGUCAUAUCCUAUACUGCAGUGUGACGCUGAUGGUGACGCCACCACAAUGAUGUGAGGCACCAGGGGAUAUCUAAAGAUUGCAAUGGUCAGAAUAUCCUUUUUGCCGUGGCACGCUCAGUUGCACUAGCCCCCGUGUUGGGAUGGGGCGGGUAACAAAUAGAGAUUCCAGCUACUGCAAUACAAGCUCUGCUUCUUGCAAUAUCCUAUCUUCUCCUUGGACAUUUCACACCCAAAUACAGUAUAGAGUGCUUCCUGCUUGAUGUAGGGAGGUGGGCUGAGAUGUUUUUCUGGAUGUCCUACCAUUUCUGACUUUUGGACUCUAUUCACUAGUUUUAAGAACUGGAAACACCUUUGGUUGGCUAAAGUUACAGCAAAUGAAUAUUUUUUUAGAUGCAAACAUUUUUGGGGUGCUAUCUUUUAUUGGACCAACUGCUCAGGAGAGAUUUAGGCAAGCUUUGGAGUAAAAGGCACCUUUACAUAGUCUCCUUCACAGUGGUGUUUCCAACUCUGUUUUACAAAAGGGGAUACACAAGCUAGAGAAUGAUAGUGGGAGCAGUCACCUGCCAUCCAGUCCUAUUCCUUAACCACAAGAUCAUCUCUGUAGGUUCCUUGGGCCAGAUCCUCAGCUAACACUAUGCCAGUUUACAGAUGAGACACUAGCCCUUUGUGUUUUAAUAAGAAUAUUUUCCUGAUCAGUGUAGUCUUUCUUCUGUUGGAAUCUGUUGUGGAGUAUUUCCAGCCUGUAGCUGUGGAAAUGAACUCGAUGCCACAAAUUUAGUAUGAUGCUUCACUUCAGGAACAAGCAAAAGAGAAAGAGCUGGCAGGGAAAGAACACUUGCUCACACAAAUAGCUUUGGUGUUUAGCCAAAAUGGCAAGAAAUACUAUGAAAGACAAGACAUUACAAACAAUGUUAUGAAUGUGAUGUAUUCUAAAGUUUUCUGCAGUAGGAAAAUGCUACUGUAACAACAGAUACUUUCCCAGAAGACUUGUUGCAUGCUAAUGGGUAGUCUACCUAGCAGUUGCGCCUUAACAGGGAAAACGAUCUGCUGCCGAUCCGCAUUCCAGUCUGUUCUAAUCUAAUGUGCUGAUGACCCUCCUGUACACAUCGGACAGAGAAGUAUAGGUACCUAGUGUGUACAGCAACAGUGCCUUGAUGGGUGACUGAUACUAAAAGUAUAAAUCCAAUAUACACCUCCAGUCAGAGGUACAACCAACUAUACUAGAACACAGCACAAAUACAAUGUAGAGUACACUGCAUACCAGAGAUUCCCUCCAGCUGUGUCUCUUCCAGCACAUCGCACAUGCUGACAAAUUAAGUUAUCACCGUCAUCAUGGACUGGGAAAAUAGAGCCCAGAAACUUGAAGUACCUUACCCCAAGGACACUCAACAAAUGUAUGACAGAGUAAGAAAGAGAAAUAAAAGCUCCUGAUUGUGAGGCUGGUGCUUUAACCACAAGAUCAUUCUUUUCUUGUGUCCAUGCAAUUACUGUUUAACAUGAAAGUUUCUUUAUAUAGAGAUAUGCUGAGUGGAUGCUUUUGCCCUGCAAGGGAAAAGGAAAAGCUCUACAUGUGAAGUUGUGAAGCAUCAGAAAGUUUAGCUAAGGGAGAUGUGCCUCUAAAACCAAACCCCACCUUCAAAUAGGAAAGCAAAUCUUGUGUUGUAAUAACAGGUUCAGAUACUAGCGAUCUGGGUCUUUUGUGCUAAGUACUCCCAGGUGGCAGAGUCCAAUCAGUAUGCAACAGAAGCAGGGUUUUCUCAGGGCCACAGGGGGCCAACUCCAGGAACCGUCACGCUUGGAAAAGCAACUUAGGGCCACUAAAACCAAACCUCUUAGACAGGGAGAGAUGGGACAUGAACUCAGGGUCAGUGUGUAACACGAAGGUGGGUUUUCUACUCUGACUCCUCUUUUGGAGGAAAAGCAUAGCCUUAAAAAUCAUAGAUACCAUCCCCACAGUGUUGUUUCCUCACUGAUGGAGGUGCUGGAUUUGCAGGAGAGGUCAGAUCUCCUCCUGGAAAUUCUGAGGCCAACCCUGUACCCUGGAUCAUUGUGCAGUAGCACCUGCGUGCACCUCUCUAGGGUCUUCUGUCUUGGGAGAUCCUGUUUUCCACAGAAUUUUAAUGUCCUAGUUGGAGAGUUUUACUCUUGGGCUCAGAAGCAUUAACUACCAUGUUAUGAUGAUCCUCCUUUCCAGGAGGGCAUGAUGUAUUGAGCAGCUGCUCCUGGUUUCUGCACCCUUCUGGAGUGCCAUAUUCCAAUUCCUGGUAGUGCUUCAAAUGCAUUUUGUUUCUGUGGAGGGUUUUAUACUAGAUCAAGGAAGAGAAAGAGCACAAAACAAAUGUUAAUCCCUCUUCACUCCAUUUCCUUGGGGAUUUUUUUUGCUUCCGUACACAGAGAGUCUGGCUGAAAGCUAACAGCACUCCUCUGUGACGCGGUCGGUUCUGUUCAGUAAGUUUCUUUCCAUAACUGUAAAUGCUAUGGAGGGCAGGCAGCUCUGAAAAGGGAUACCCCUGCUGAUGCACUGGUGCACUGAAAAUGCAUAACCAGGGAAAAUGCUUGCUCAUUUGCUUUUGUCAGCCUCUGGUGACUCCAAACUGCCUAUUUCCACUCCAAAAUUUAGUAAAAAAUAAAAUAAAAAACCCAAACAGCAGCAAAUAGUUAUCUCAGCAGGGUCCAUGGAGCCUAUUCUAUUUACCAUAUUUAUUCUAAGCUCAAGACUGCUUAAGGACACUAUGAUACAGAUAUACCUGGAUAGUUUUUGCACUUAUUAAAGACCCAUUUAGCAGUGAAACCCUCAGUAUAAUGAUUGCAAAGAACAGAAGCAGCAAGAAGUGAGAAGCUGACCCUGGCCUGGGAUGAUGGGUAUAUUCUGGUCUGGGCAAGCAAACUCUGCAAAUUAUCAACUAAAGAGGGAUACUUCAGUCUAUAGGACCAUUCUAAAUUGUCAGAAUAUUUUUUGGAAGAUUUGUCCAGUGAGUGAAAUGCCUGCAGAGAGGUGAGGGGAAGGCAGGGGACUGGAGGGAUAUAUGCCUAAUGUCUGUGGGCGACAUCCUCUAUGCUCAUAGUCUAUUGUAAGCACUGAACAUGAUGGGCUGGUUCUGAUGUGAAUGCUGCCCUGCAGAUCUCUCGCUGUUCUUAAAAUCGGUGCUACCUCCUGAAAAAAUCCUGUUGGCUUAUUUUGCCUUCCCCUGGCUCAGGUAUGAAUCUAAUUUUUCUUUGAAAAUCGGUCCUAUAAAUCUACAUUUCCAGAGUAGAUUACAUACUCCUUAAAAAUUAGUCCACUGGUAUAGUCAAACCAUUUAGCCUGCAUGAUUCUUAUCAAAUGGAAGGUGCAUGCUCGACUAUGUAUAGAACUGUAAGUUUAGCUAUCAGACUGACUAAUUACCAAGCGGUAAUUAUUUUUUCCUAAUCUUUUGUUUAAAUACCAUUAACUAGCUGCUCUUGAAAAAACCUGGAUUCCUAAUUAUCUUGACAGCUGUCAGUUGAACAAUCCCAGCCACAAUGGACCAGCCCUUCAGCUGGUGUAAAUCAAUGUGGCUCCCCUGACUUCAGUGGACAUAUGCCAAUUCUUCCCCCUGCUGAGGAUCCAGCCAAGUACACAUUUAGCUUGUUUACAGAAUCAGAGAAUCACGGAAAGGAACGUGAAGAUAACUGUUAAAAAUGGUGUUUAGACAUUUUUUUUUACUUUAAGCACUACAAGCUGUCAGUCAAUUAUGAGCUAUAAUUGAAAUGCUGACAUAUUCAAUGCACAGAUUUAAUUUUUCCCAAUUCUAAAAACCUGAACAUACUGAGGUAUCUCAAGCUGUGCUCAGUUGGAGCUCUGAGUAAACAUGAACCUUUUU